CUUCUGAGGCCACAGAAGAGCUGAGGACUCCGGGUUGGAGCCUUCCUACUCCCACCCCAGGCAUUGAUGCUUUUUCUGGUUUUGCUUGGACCCAGAUUUCUUUUCCCUGCCACCCCCAGCUCCAGGAGGCCCCAGGAUCUGGCCAGACAGCCUCUGAAAGCCAGUGGGAUCCUCGGCUCUGAGGGAGCAAGGGCGGAGUCCCAGGUUCAGGUCUUUGUCCUCUGGGCUUGAGAUGCUGUAGGUGGGUUCACGCAUCCUAUCCCUUGGAGUCUUAGGUUUGUACCUCAGGCGUCUUCAGCUGAACUGGAGCCACAGACUAUGGACAGAGCCUCUCGGGUUUUUUUCACCAAGGUUUCCUUGGGCUGAAACAGAACUAGAAUGGACUUGGGGGAGUAGACAAAUUCUGAGCUCCUUGGGCAGAGCGAUUCUGCCCUGGACGCGGGCAAACGCUGGCAUCUCCUCGUCUGGAGAGGAGAGCGGAGCAGUCGUUUCAGGGCAUGGAGGUCAUGCAUUGGCUGCGGAUGAGCUUUGCUUCGCUGGCCUCUCCGCUGUUCUCUCACUGAGGCAGUGAAGGGUGAAAGUGACCACCCUUGGCGGUGACUAUCCUGCGGGGUGGAGGAGAGAAGGCUCGACGUCCUCUAGCACGCGGUGGGCGCCCAUCCAGAACAGAACAGGGAAGGGUUACAGGAGACCUAAACCUGAGGUUGGAGUUAAACACAUCGCAGGGAGAGUCAGAAGGGGUGAAGGUCGAGGCUCGGGAUGGAAGAAUUGGUCCCGGGCCGCCAGGGUGCAGACGGCGGGCUCAGGG
ensembl:lncRNA